UACGUAGGGUGCGAGCGUUAAUCGGAAUUACUGGGCGUAAAGCGUGCGCAGGCUGCUUUGCAAGACAGAUGUGAAAUCCCCGGGCUCAACCUGGGAACUGCAUUUGUGACUGCAAGGCUAGAGUACGGCAGAGGGGGAUGGAAUUCCGCGUGUAGCAGUGAAAUGCGUAGAUAUGCGGAGGAACACCAAUGGCGAAGGCAAUCCCCUGGGCCUGUACUGACGCUCAUGCACGAAAGCGUGGGGAGCAAACAGG
rnacentral:rRNA from 1 species